GUGAUCAUGAUUGAUUAAUUAUGCCUGCCGUUGCCGGAAGGGGGAGCUCAGUCUGGCCAAGAUGCCUCAUUCGCAGUGAAGCUGCUGAAAGCGAAGCAUCAUGUCUGAGCUUCAUCAUUGAUUUAUCCCCUUUUCAGGUUCACCCAAUAAUAGUCAACAACGUUUUAUUCACCUGUCCGGAAUGCAAAUUUCUCCCUAAUGAGCAGAGCAUUUUAGGGGAUCGCUGAUCAGCUUCUAGGCCUGACUGAGGACGUCAGUCAUAAGAAGCACAAGGCAUCCUCCAACACACGAGUUCCAGAGUGAUCCUCUAAAUGUUGGCACCUAAUACUUCUAGACUUUAGGUUUCUUGUAGUCAUCACUAUCCACAUCUGACUUCAGAGGAGUCUGCCCUGGUGAUAAGUGUUGACCUAUUUGCAUGAAGCUGCACCACAACCAUGAAGUUGCAUUCCAGGGAGCGGCCGGGUUUAAUUUUGGACUUCUGAUUGAAAACAGAAUGUGAACGGAUGAGGGACAUUGUAUCCUGCCAUGCGAGUUGUAUUUGUCACAGUGUUAUUUCAUGCUCCUGACUGGAAUAAUCUCUAAAAAGUCUUUGAUGUCUCGACUCUGUUUUUUCAUGGACUCUUAUGGUUGGGUGGCUAAAGCCACUCUGCGGAGAAAGUCUCAGUGUAAACACAAUGAAUCACAACCACACACUCAAGUUCUCAAGCACAUCCUGAGAGUCAUUGGGAAAUGCCCUCCCUGGAAAGAGAUAAGGAAUUAAUCUUGUGGCAUUUGCAGCCUGGACUUUCACUCUAAUUCCUUAUAUCGGUAUCACCGUAUUCAUCUGAAUACCACCCAUCACCCACACUUGUAGGUGUGUGUGUUUGUGCAUUCAU